GACGAACGCUGGCGGUGUGCUUAACACAUGCAAGUCGAACGGAAAGGCCCUGCUUUUGUGGGGUGCUCGAGUGGCGAACAGGUGAGUAACACGUGAGUAACCUGCCCUUGACUUUGGGAUAACUUCAGGAAACUGGGGCUAAUACCGGAUAGGAGCUCCUGCUGCAUGGUGGGGGUUGGAAAGUUUCGGCGGUUGGGGAUGGACUCGCGGCUUAUCAGCUUGUUGGUGGGGUAGUGGCUUACCAAGGCUUUGACGGGUAGCCGGCCUGAGAGGGUGACCGGCCACAUUGGGACUGAGAUACGGCCCAGACUCCUACGGGAGGCAGCAGUGGGGAAUAUUGCACAAUGGGCGGAAGCCUGAUGCAGCAACGCCGCGUGCGGGAUGGCGGCCUUCGGGUUGUAAACCGCUUUCGCCUGUGACGAAGCGUGAGUGACGGUAAUGGGUAAAGAAGCACCGGCUAACUACGUGCCAGCAGCCGCGGUGAUACGUAGGGUGCGAGCGUUGUCCGGAUUUAUUGGGCGUAAAGGGCUCGUAGGUGGUUGAUCGCGUCGGAAGUGUAAUCUUGGGGCUUAACCCUGAGCGUGCUUUCGAUACGGGUUGACUUGAGGAAGGUAGGGGAGAAUGGAAUUCCUGGUGGAGCGGUGGAAUGCGUAGAUAUCAGGAGGAACACCAGUGGCGAAGGCGGUUCUCUGGGCCUUUCCUGACGCUGAGGAGCGAAAGCGUGGGGAGCGAACAGGCUUAGAUACCCUGGUAGUCCACGCUGUAAACGGUGGGUACUAGGUGUGGGGUCCAUUCCACGGGUUCCGUGCCGUAGCUAACGCUUUAAGUACCCCGCCUGGGGAGUACGGCCGCAAGGCUAAAACUCAAAGGAAUUGACGGGGCCCCGCACAAGCGGCGGAGCAUGCGGAUUAAUUCGAUGCAACGCGUAGAACCUUACCUGGGUUUGACAUGGAUCGGGAGUGCUCAGAGAUGGGUGUGCCUCUUUUGGGGUCGGUUCACAGGUGGUGCAUGGCUGUCGUCAGCUCGUGUCGUGAGAUGUUGGGUUAAGUCCCGCAACGAGCGCAACCCUUGUUCACUGUUGCCAGCACGUUAUGGUGGGGACUCAGUGGAGACCGCCGGGGUCAACUCGGAGGAAGGUGGGGAUGACGUCAAGUCAUCAUGCCCCUUAUGUCCAGGGCUUCACGCAUGCUACAAUGGCUGGUACAGAGAGUGGCGAGCCUGUGAGGGUGAGCGAAUCUCGGAAAGCCGGUCUCAGUUCGGAUUGGGGUCUGCAACUCGACCUCAUGAAGUCGGAGUCGCUAGUAAUCGCAGAUCAGCAACGCUGCGGUGAAUAAGUUCCCGGG
rnacentral:rRNA from 1 species